rnacentral:rRNA from 1 species
CCUACGGGGUGCAGCAGUAGGGAAUAUUGCUCAAUGGGGGAAACCCUGAAGCAGCAACGCCGCGUGGAGGAUGAAGGUUUUCGGAUUGUAAACUCCUUUUGUUAGAGAAGAUAAUGACGGUAUCUAACGAAUAAGCACCGACUAACUCCGUGCCAGCAGCGGCGGUAAUACGGUGGGUGCAAGCGUUACUCGGAAUCACUGGUGGUAAAGAGCGCGUAGGCGGGAUAGCAAGUCAGAUGUGAAAUCCUAUGGCUUAACCAUAGAACUGCAUUUGAAACUGUUAUUCUAGAGUAUGGGAGAGGGAGGUGGUAUUCUUGGUGUGGGGGUAAAUGCCGAGGAGAUAAAGAGGAAUACUCAUUG